CGGCGCCCGCUCUCCCGCCAGGCUCCGGCGCGCCCCUCUCUGCGCUCCUCAGGCUCUGGGGCUCCGAGCGCUCCCCGCGCUCCCACGCCCUGGCUUCGAAGUUGCGAGACAGAAGGAUCGUGGUCAUCUCUUCUGACUCACCCACCCCACACCCCUCGUUGGACCAGAAUGGACCUGAAGCCCAGAGAGGGUAGGAACUUGCCCGAAGUCGCACAGCGCGACAAACGGCCUAUGCUACGUAGCCUUAUCUUUCUGACUCCCAGUCUUUGUUCACCCAAGUGAUUUUCAGUCUUAUCAUCGUAAUAAAAUCUAGUGUGCUUUCAGCGU